rnacentral:rRNA from 1 species
AAUGGCUGCAGUAAUUUGACUGUACAAAGGUAGCAUAAUCAUUAGUUUUUUAAUUAAAAGCUUGUAUGAAGGGUUGGACGAAAUAAAAUCUGUCUCUUUUUAAAAUAAUUAGAAUUUAAUUUUUAAGUUAAAAAGCUUAAAUUUAUAUAAAAGACGAGAAGACCCUAUAGAGUUUAAUAAUUUAAAUUUAUUAAUAAAUUUAGAUUUAUUUAUUUUAUUUUUUUAAGAUUAUUUUAUUGGGGUAAUAGAAAGAUUUAAAAAAUUCUUUUUUAAUAAAAUCAUUAAUUUAUGAAAAUUUUGAUCCAUUAAAUUUUGAAUAUAAGAUUAAAUUACCUUAGGGAUAACAGCGUAAUUUUUUUUAAGAGUUCAUAUCGAUAAAAAAGUUUGCGACCUCGAUGUUGGAUUAAAGAUUAAUUUAGGUGUAGAAGUUUAAAUUUUUGGUCUGUUCGACCAUUGAAUCUUUACAUGAUCUGAGUUCAAACCGGUGUAAGCCAGGUUGGUUUCUAUCUUUAUAAAAUUUUUAUAUUUUAGUACGAAAGGACCAUUUAUAUUAUAUAUUAAUAUUUUUAUUAUUGAAUAU